UACGGAGGGUGCAAGCGUUAUCCGGAUUUACUGGGUUUAAAGGGUGUGUAGGCGGGCUUUUAAGUCAGUGGUGAAAUCUCCGGGCUCAACCUGGAAACUGCCAUUGAUACUAUUAGUCUUGAAUUCUGUUGAGGUAGGCGGAAUAAGUCAUGUAGCGGUGAAAUGCUUAGAUAUGACUUAGAACACCAAUUGCGAAGGCAGCUUGCUAAACAGAUAUUGACGCUGAGGCACGAAAGCGUGGGGAUCAAACAGG
rnacentral:rRNA from 1 species